GACGAACGCUGGCGGCGUGCCUAAUACAUGCAAGUAGAACGCUGAAGAGAGGAGCUUGCUCUUCUUGGAUGAGUUGCGAACGGGUGAGUAACGCGUAGGUAACCUGCCUUGUAGCGGGGGAUAACUAUUGGAAACGAUAGCUAAUACCGCAUAACAAUGGCUGACACAUGUCAUUUAUUUGAAAGGGGCAAUUGCUCCACUACAAGAUGGACCUGCGUUGUAUUAGCUAGUAGGUGAGGUAAUGGCUCACCUAGGCGACGAUACAUAGCCGACCUGAGAGGGUGAUCGGCCACACGGGGACUGAGACACGGCCCAGACUCCUACGGGAGGCAGCAGUAGGGAAUCUUCGGCAAUGGGGGCAACCCUGACCGAGCAACGCCGCGUGAGUGAAGAAGGUUUUCGGAUCGUAAAGCUCUGUUGUAAGUCAAGAACGGGUGUGAGAGUGGAAAGUUCACACUGUGACGGUAGCUUACCAGAAAGGGACGGCUAACUACGUG
rnacentral:rRNA from 1 species